GUAAGAAAUGGAGUUAUCAUUCAUCUAUUCAUUCCUGGAAAAAAAGAAACACACCCUCCGAACUCAAGAUGUCUAUUGAUUUAUCCCCUUUAACAGGCAGCGGUGCAGAAGUUUCCAGGCUUUCUCCCCUCUGCUCCAGCUGGAAAGGAACCCCAGAGGAGCUCAGAAAAUCACGAAUGGAGUGGAAGAACAGCCUCAGAAAAGUCAGGAUGCCAAAUCAUCAUGGUUUGAUUUCUGCUUUCAUGCACAAGCAGUUUUAGAGAAAGCAAAGCAAGACGUAUCAGAGACACCACAAACCUAGUCUGGAGACACGUUCUUUAGCAGACAACCCCCGUACCCUGCUGUGUUGUCCUCAUGCCGCUAUCACCACUCAGAA
rnacentral:lncRNA from 1 species